GCCUCUUUCCCUCUCUCUCUCUCCCCCUUUACUCUUUCUGCUCAUUUUAAUUUUUUCUGUAACCUUGGUACCUUUUUACAUUCAAUAUUCACAUGUAACAUCAAAUUGGAGUGGUUGAAUACAGUGCUUUUGAGUGGAGGGAGAAAGAGUUUUUCUACGCUCUGUUCUCUCACCCCACACGGUCUUUUUUACAAAUGGUGAUCCCGACGUGAUACCUUUGCUCGGAUGUGGAUAUGUGACCCCACUUCCAGCAACCGGGGCAUGACACAGGUGAAGGAAAUCUCUGACCAUCAGUGGCCCUCAGACCCUUUCCCCCAAUCCUCAUCAGCUCCCCCCAGGACAAACCUUAUUCGACUAUCUGUGAUCAUCACCUACAGGUCCAGCAAUCUUCCCCACAGACAUAGUUCUUAAUCUGCAAUGGCCUUCCCCUGCUCCAGCUUCAGCUCCAUCUCCCUGGUGAAUGCAAGAUAACAAACAAAACUUUCAUCCUGAAGGACUUUUUCAAUUCUAAUGACCUGGACUAUCUCUGUGUUACUGAGUCUUGGUUGAGUAUCUGUGAGACACAUGCUAUUUGUGAACUGCUACUGGCUAACUGUACAUAUUUUAAUGCC
ensembl:lncRNA